UACGUAGGGGGCAAGCGUUGUCCGGAAUCAUUGGGCGUAAAGCGCGUGUAGGCGGUUCGGUAAGUCUGCUGUGAAAGUCCAGGGCUCAACCCUGGGAUGCCGGUGGAUACUGCUGGGCUAGAGUACGGAAGAGGCGAGUGGAAUUCCCCGGUGUAGCGGUGAAAUGCGCAGAUAUCCGGGAGGAACACCUAUUGCGAAGGCAGCCUCGCUGGGACGUUACUGACGCUGAGACGCGAAAGCGUGGGGAGCAAACAGG
rnacentral:rRNA from 1 species